CGGCGUAUCAGCUAGUUGGUGGGGUAACGGCCUACCAAGGCGACGACGCGUAGCUGGAGUGAGAGCUCGAACAGCCACACUGGGACUGAGACACGGCCCAGACUCCUACGGGAGGCAGCAGUGGAGAAUCUUGCGCAAUGGGCGAAAGCCUGACGCAGCCACGCCGCGUGCGGGAAGAAGGCCUUCGGGUCGUAAACCGCUUUCAGGAGGGAAGAAGCGAGAGUGACGGUACCUCCAGAAGAAGCCCCGGCCAACUAUGUGCCAGCAGCCGCGGUAAUACAUAGGGGGCGAGCGUUGUCCGGAAUCAUUGGGCGUAAAGCGCAUGUAGGCGGCCCAGUAAGUCGGAUGUGAAAUCCCGAGGCUCAACUUCGGAACUGCAUCCGAUACUGCUGGGCUUGAGGAAGGUAGAGGAGAGUGGAAUUCCCGGUAUAGCGGUGGAAUGCGCAGAUAUCGGGAGGAACACCAGCGGCGAAGGCGGCUCUCUGGGCCUCUCCUGACGC
rnacentral:rRNA from 1 species